rnacentral:tRNA from 1 species
UCUGGAGAUAUGGCUCAGUUGGUAGAGUGCUUGCCUAACAUACACAAGUCCUUGGGUUCAAUCCCCAGCACCAAAA